rnacentral:rRNA from 1 species
CCUACGGGUGGCAGCAGUGAGGAAUAUUGGUCAAUGGACGAGAGUCUGAACCAGCCAAGUAGCGUGAAGGAUGACUGCCCUAUGUGUUGUAAACUUCUUUUAUAAAGGAAUAAAACGAGGCACGUGUGCCUUUUUGCAUGUACUUUAUGAAUAAGGAUCGGCUAACUCCGUGCCAGCAGCCGCGGUAAUACGGAGGAUCCGAGCGUUAUCCGGAUUUAUUGGGUUUAAAGGGAGCGUAGAUGGGUUGUUAAGUCAGUUGCGAAAGUUUGCGGCUCAACCGUAAAAUUGCAAUUGAUACUGGCAGUCUUGAGUACAGUUGAGGUAGGCGGAAUUCGUGGUGUAGCGGUGAAAUGCUUAGAUAUCACGAAGAACCCCGAUUGCGAAGGCAGCUUACUAAACUGUGACUGACAUUGAUGCUCGAAAGUGUGGGUAUCAAACAGGAUUAGAUACCCCGGUAGUC